GGAGAGGUGACCGAGAGGCCGAAGGUGUGCGCUUGGAAAGCGUAUGUACCGCAAGGUACCGGGGGUUCGAAUCCCCCCUUCUCCG
rnacentral:tRNA from 1 species